GUCUGUGGCCGUAACACCCUGAAUGUGUCCAAUCUCAUUUGAUCUUGGAACUAAGAAGGGUAGGGCCUGGUUAGUACUUGGAUGGGAGAUGGGGUAUUGCUGUGCUACCCAGGCUGCUCUUGAAC
rnacentral:rRNA from 1 species